AACGCGAAGAACCUUACCUGGGUUGAACUACGCAGGAAAAGCCGUAGAGAUACGGUGUCCGUAAGGGUCUGCGAUAGGUGGUGCAUGGCUGUCGUCAGCUCGUGUCGUGAGAUGUUGGGUUAAGUCCCGCAACGAGCGCAACCCUUGUCCUAUGUUGCCAGCGGGUAAUGCCGGGGACUCGUAGGAGACUGCCGGGGUCAACUCGGAGGAAGGUGGGGAUGACGUCAAGUCAUCAUGCCCCUUACGCCCAGGGCUGCACACAUGCUACAAUGGCCGGUACAAAGGGCUGCUAUCCCGCGAGGGUGAGCGAAUCCCAAAAAGCCGGUCUCAGUUCGGAUCGCAGUCUGCAACUCGACUGCGUGAAGUCGGAGUCGCUAGUAAUCGUAGAUCAGCAUUGCUACGGUGAAUACGUUCCCGGGCCUUGUACACACCGGCUAC
rnacentral:rRNA from 1 species